CAUGGAGGGGCUCUGCU
rnacentral:misc_RNA from 1 species